rnacentral:rRNA from 1 species
UGCAAGUCGAACGGUCCUUUCGGGGAUAGUGGCGGACGGGUGAGUAACGCGUGAGAAUCUGCCUUCAGGACGGGGACAACAGCUGGAAACGGUUGCUAAUACCCGAUGUGCCCUUGGGUGAAAUAUUUAUAGCCUGAAGAUGAGCUCGCGUCUGAUUAGCUAGUUGGUAAGGUAAAGGCUUACCAAGGCGACGAUCAGUAACUGGUCUGAGAGGAUGACCAGUCACACUGGGACUGAGACACGGCCCAGACUCCUACGGGAGGCAGCAGUGGGGAAUUUUCCGCAAUGGGCGCAAGCCUGACGGAGCAAUACCGCGUGAGGGAGGAAGGCUCUUGGGUCGUAAACCUCUUUUAUCAGGGAAGAACACAAUGACGGUACCUGAUGAAUCAGCAUCGGCUAACUCUGUGCCAGCAGCCGCGGUAAUACAGAGGAUGCAAGCGUUAUCCGGAAUUAUUGGGCGUAAAGCGUCCGCAGGUGGUUUUGGUAGUCUGCUGUCAAAGCGCGAGGCUCAACUUCGUAUCGGCGGUGGAAACUCCAAGACUAGAGUUUGGUAGGGGUCACGGGAAUUCCCAGUGUAGCGGUGAAAUGCGUAGAUAUUGGGAAGAACACCAGCGGCGAAAGCGCGUGACUGGGCCUGAACUGACACUCAUGGACGAAAGCUAGGGGAGCGAAAGGGAUUAGAUACCCCUGUAGUCCUAGCCGUAAACGAUGACAACUAGGUGUUGCCCGUAUCGACCCGGGCAGUGCCGUAGCCAACGCGUUAAGUUGUCCGCCUGGGGGAGUACGCACGCAAGUGUGAAACUCAAAGGAAUUGACGGGGGCCCGCACAAGCGGUGGAGUAUGUGGUUUAAUUCGAUGCAACGCGAAGAACCUUACCAAGGCUUGACAUGUCGCGA